CACGUAGGGUGCGAGCGUUGUCCGGAAUUAUUGGGCGUAAAGAGCUCGUAGGCGGUGCGUCGCGUCGGCCGUGAAAACCUGCAGCUUAACUGUGGGCGUGCGGUCGAUACGGGCAUCACUGGAGUUCGGCAGGGGAGACUGGAAUUCCUGGUGUAGCGGUGAAAUGCGCAGAUAUCAGGAGGAACACCGGUGGCGAAGGCGGGUCUCUGGGCCGAUACUGACGCUGAGGAGCGAAAGCGUGGGGAGCAAACAGG
rnacentral:rRNA from 1 species